CCCAAGAGAUCGGGAUAACACCUGGAAAACAGAUGCUAAUACCGGAUAACAACAGAUGAUGCCUAUCAACUGUUUAAAAGAUGGUUCUGCUAUCACUCUUGGAUGGACCUGCGGUGCAUUAGCUAGUUGGUAGGGUAACGGCCUACCAAGGCGAUGAUGCAUAGCCGAGUUGAGAGACUGAUCGGCCACAUUGGGACUGAGACACUGCCCAAACUCCUACGGGAGGCAGCAGCA
rnacentral:rRNA from 1 species